rnacentral:rRNA from 1 species
UACGUAGGGUGCAAGCGUUGUCCGGAAUUAUUGGGCGUAAAGAGCUCGUAGGCGGCUUGUCACGUCGGGUGUGAAAGCCCGGGGCUUAACCCCGGGUCUGCAUCCGAUACGGGCAGGCUAGAGUGUGGUAGGGGAGAUCGGAAUUCCUGGUGUAGCGGUGAAAUGCGCAGAUAUCAGGAGGAACACCGGUGGCGAAGGCGGAUCUCUGGGCCAUUACUGACGCUGAGGAGCGAAAGCGUGGGGAGCGAACAGG